rnacentral:tRNA from 1 species
GGCUAUAGUUUGGUUGGUAGAGCGCUUGCCUCCCAUGCAUAAGGCCCUGGGUUCAAUCCCCAGUACCC